UACGAGGGGGGCGAGCGUUGUUCGGAAUUAUUGGGCGUAAAGGGCGCGUAGGCGGUCGGUUAAGUCUUGUGUGAAAUCUUCGGGCUCAACUCGAAGUCUGCACGAGAAACUGUCUGGCUUGAGUGUGGGAGAGGUGAGUGGAAUUCCUGGUGUAGCGGUGAAAUGCGUAGAUAUCAGGAGGAACACCUGUGGCGAAAGCGGCUCACUGGACCACAACUGACGCUGAGGCGCGAAAGCUAGGGGAGCAAACAGG
rnacentral:rRNA from 1 species